AGUGAACGCUGGCGGUAGGCCUAACACAUGCAAGUCGAACGGCAGCACAGUAAGAGCUUGCUCUUACGGGUGGCGAGUGGCGGACGGGUGAGGAAUACAUCGGAAUCUACUUUUUCGUGGGGGAUAACGUAGGGAAACUUACGCUAAUACCGCAUACGACCUACGGGUGAAAGCAGGGGAUCUUCGGACCUUGCGCGAUUGAAUGAGCCGAUGUCGGAUUAGCUAGUUGGCGGGGUAAAGGCCCACCAAGGCGACGAUCCGUAGCUGGUCUGAGAGGGUGACCGGCCAACAUGCGCCUGAGUGACGCCCCCGACUCCUGCGGGAGGCAGUGGUGGGGAGUAUUACCCCAUCGUCGGAAGGCUGAGGCAACGCCGCCGCGUGCGCGAUGCCGGCCUUCGGGUAGUAAAAAGAUCCCAGCCCGUAAGCUGCGAACGUGACGGUGCGUUCAUAAGAAGCACCGCAUAACUACGUG
rnacentral:rRNA from 1 species